GACUGGGGCAUGGUAGCUUGUUUGGUAGAGCAUGCGAGUCUUAAUCUCAGGGACGUGGGUUCGAGUCCCAUGUCGGGCG